rnacentral:lncRNA from 1 species
CCUGACCUCUAAAGUCCCUGGGGCCUCCAGUCUCUUGAGGGUUAGGUGCAUCAUCUCUGAAUGAACACAGACCCAAAAGACCUCUACUGUAUGUCUGUUGGGGGGGCCUCAUAUCUGCUGGUGUAUGCUGUCUGUUUGGUGGUCUAGUGUUUGAGAGAUCUCGGGGGUCCAGAUUAAUUGAGACUGCUGGUCCUCCUACAGGAUCGCCCUUCUCCUCAGCUUCUUUCAGCCUUUCCUAAUUCAACAACAGGGGUUAGCUACUUCAGUCCAUUGGUUGGGUACAAAUAUCUGCAUCUGACUCUUUCAGCUGCUUGUUGGGUCUUUCAGAGGGCACUCAUGAUAGAUCCCUUUUUGUGAGCUCUCCAUAGCCUCAGUAAUAGUGUCAGGCCUUGGGACCUCUCAGAAAGGGGAGUCUACCUAAUGAAGAAGCUGUACUGAACACUCCAAGCAAAAAGUCGAUAGCCUUUUCCCCAAGGGAUGGUCUGUCCCAGCUGCAAGACACAUUGCCAGAGAUGACCCAUUUCCUCAACUUCUCUUAAUUGAAGAGAGAGAGAGAGAGAGAGAGAGAGAGAGAGAGAGAGAGAGAGAGAGAGAGAUUGAGAGAUUCUACUUUUUCUCCAACCCAUCCAAACUGUCACUCUGUGCAGCCACCCUCCUUGUCCUGCUUAUUACAGAGUACUGUGCUGGGGCCGCUGCCUGUCUGGAUUUCCUUUCCAAUUUAGCCUCUUUGACCCUGGGAAGGAACAAGGACAUUUUCUGAACAGGUUAUUUUCUCUGCAGUCAAACUGGGAUGUCCGGUGUAGGCCUUUUCAUCCUUGCUAGGGGAAAAGCCAGAAGGCAAAUCAGCUGACUUGUUACCUGAGGUGACUGACUGAAACACAAAGCAUCCUUGGGAUGUUGCUAUAGCGACUGGUUUUGGCUAGAGGAGAUGUUAUUUUUGAGAUCACAUAGUGAUUUGGCUGGGUUAGGUGGCCCCACAGGAAACGGUAGAAACCUGCCUGAUCACCAGUCAAAGACUUGGGAGGAUGGUGCAGGGCAUGAUCAGCCAACUGCAUUAAUAUGUCUAUCCAUUGUUUAAUGUGAUCUAGGUCAAGGAGGGCUUCAUCUUAGAGGUCCAGACAAGUGCGGUGAUUGACUUCUGUUGGGGAAUUAAUUUUUCAAGAGCUGUACCUUUAUGAACAUAGCUGUGAGUUAUAUUUUUGGUUUAGCUGGACAAUAAAUAUAGUGCCAGGAAAGGGGAGCUAACUGAUCUUGCGUUCUUUGCCUUAGUUGGAUUUCUGGUUAUGAUGUUGGGGGUGGGGCAUGAAGCUUGGACUAUACAUUAUGACCCUUCAAUAGCGGUAAAGAAAAACAUCUUGCCCACCCAUAAGAUAACCAGGCAAGUGUGGAUGCCAUAAACCAUUUGAGCUUCUCGUUUCUGAUCCAGCUUUCAGUACUCAACUGCAUUUUACCCAGUGUCACCGGGUGGCCAGCA